rnacentral:rRNA from 1 species
GAUGAACGCUGGCGGCGUGCCUAAUACAUGCAAGUCGAGCGAACAGACGAGGAGCUUGCUCCUCUGACGUUAGCGGCGGACGGGUGAGUAACACGUGGAUAACCUACCUAUAAGACUGGGAUAACUUCGGGAAACCGGAGCUAAUACCGGAUAAUAUAUUGAACCGCAUGGUUCAAUAGUGAAAGACGGUUUUGCUGUCACUUAUAGAUGGAUCCGCGCCGCAUUAGCUAGUUGGUAAGGUAACGGCUUACCAAGGCGACGAUGCGUAGCCGACCUGAGAGGGUGAUCGGCCACACUGGAAUUGAGACACGGUCCAGACUCCUACGGGAGGCAGCAGUAGGGAAUCUUCCGCAAUGGGCGAAAGCCUGACGGAGCAACGCCGCGUGAGUGAUGAAGGUCUUCGGAUCGUAAAACUCUGUUAUUAGGGAAGAACAAAUGUGUAAGUAACUAUGCACGUCUUGACGGUACCUAAUCAGAAAGCCACGGCUAACUACGUG